UUAACACAACAAUCUCCACAACCUAAACCACAGAAUUCAGCAGUACUGACUCUAAAUGUCAAUGGUUUCAAUGCUCCAAUCAACAGACAUGGGCUAACAGAAUGGAUAAGAAAAUAAGACCCAUCUCCAUGCUGUUUACAAGAGACCCACUUUAGACCUAAAGACACCUACAGAUU